GUUCUCGGGGCAGGGUGUAAUUCCCUACCGGCGGUGUUGGUGGCCCUAGGCUACCUCAGCCCGCGAGCGUCCUACCCUUCGGGGUAGGAGACAAGCAGACUCGGUGUGAUUCCGGGGCCGACGGUGAUAGUCCGGAUGAGAGAGAAU
rnacentral:ncRNA from 1 species